rnacentral:rRNA from 1 species
UACGGAGGGUGCAAGCGUUAUCCGGAAUCACUGGGCUUAAAGCGUGUGUAGGCGGGUGCCUAAGUACCUUGUGAAAUCCCACGGCUCAACCGUGGAACUGCUGGGUAUACUGGGUGCCUUGGGUCAUCUAGGGGCUGCCGGAACAAAUGGUGGAGCGGUGAAAUGCGUAGAUAUCAUUUGGAACGCCAACGGCGAAAGCAGGCAGCUGGGGAUGCACCGACGCUGAGACACGAAAGCCAGGGGAGCGAACGGG